GAUGAACGCUGGCGGCGUGCUUAACACAUGCAAGUCGAACGAUGAAGCCCAGCUUGCUGGGUGGAUUAGUGGCGAACGGGUGAGUAACACGUGAGUAACCUGCCCUUAACUCUGGGAUAAGCCUGGGAAACUGGGUCUAAUACCGGAUAGGAGCGUCCACCGCAUGGUGGGUGUUGGAAAGAUUUAUCGGUUUUGGAUGGACUCGCGGCCUAUCAGCUUGUUGGUGAGGUAAUGGCUCACCAAGGCGACGACGGGUAGCCGGCCUGAGAGGGUGACCGGCCACAAUGGGACUGAGACACGGCCCAGACUCCUACGGGAGGCAGCAGUGGGGAAUAUUGCAAAAUGGGCGAAAGCCUGAUGCAGCGACGCCGCGUGAGGGAUGACGGCCUUCGGGUUGUAAACCUCUUUCAGUAGGGAAGAAGAGAAAGUGACGGUACCUGCAGAAGAAGCACCGGCUAACUACGUG
rnacentral:rRNA from 1 species